rnacentral:rRNA from 1 species
GAGUUUGAUCCUGGCUCAGGAUGAACGCUAGCGGCAGGCCUAAUACAUGCAAGUCGAACGGUUGGCAGCAAUGCCAAUAGUGGCGCACGGGUGCGUAACGCGUAACCAACCUACCCUGGACUGGGGGAUAGCCCGCCGAAAGGCGGAUUAAUACCGCAUAACACCACAGCCCGGCAUCGGGUAAUGGUUAAAGAUUUAUUGGUCCAGGAUGGGGUUGCGAGCCAUUAGCUAGUUGGGGGGGUAACGACCCACCAAGGCGACGAUGGCUAGGGGAGCUGAGAGGCUGGUCCCCCACACGGGCACUGAGAUACGGGCCCGACUCCUACGGGAGGCAGCAGUAGGGAAUAUUGGGCAAUGGCCGAGAGGCUGACCCAGCCAUGCCGCGUGCAGGACGAAGGCUUUCUGAGUCGUAAACUGCUUUUGCCAGGGAAGAAUAAGGGUCGUGCGCGGCCCGACGACGGUACCUGGUGAAUAAGCACCGGCUAACUCCGUGCCAGCAGCCGCGGUAAUACGGAGGGUGCAAGCGUUGUCCGGAUUUAUUGGGUUUAAAGGGUGCGUAGGCGGCUUUUUAAGUCUGGGGUGAAAGCCCGUUGCUCAACAACGGAACUGCCCCGGAAACUGGAGAGCUUGAGUACAGACGAGGGCGGCGGAAUGGAGGGUGUAGCGGUGAAAUGCAUAGAUACCCUCCAGAACCCCGAUUGCGAAGGCAGCUGCCUAGACUGUAACUGACGCUGAGGCACGAAAGCGUGGGGAGCGAACAGGAUUAGAUACCCUGGUAGUCCACGCCGUAAACGAUGGAUACUCGCUGCCGGCGAUACAAUGUCGGUGGC